ACACGACGGCGCGCGUGUGAACAGCUUGAAUGUCCGCCUGCCCGCGACGGGCUGCACGCCGCGCAGCCCGCCAGGCAGCCCGCCGGGUUGCGCGGCGCGCGUGUGAACGUAGCAUAAGAUUGGCCGAUUGCGAUAAAAACCAUAGAAAGAAGAAUAAUAACCAUAACCUCAAAGUCGAAGUUUUAGUUCAAAUGUCAUUUAGUUGUUCAAAUGUCAUUGUCAUUUACUUUGUUUGGAUUACACACAUCAUGCCGAAAAUCUGACAUGCAAUUUUUGUAAUGGCAAAAUAUUUGCAAGAGAUGGCAAACAAAAGCAAAUGUGCAGUCGAUGUGUGGAAUGCGACAACAUUAUACUCGAUAAUUUCAAUUAUUGCGAGUGCUGUGGCUGUAAAAUGAAAAAUAAUACUUAUUACCAGAUAGAGAUGUCGAUAACGAAGAGUUGAAUGUUAGAACUUAUGAAAAUAUUAUUUACAACUCAUUUCGAGAAGCUGCUCAAGCAAGAGGGCUCCUUUUUGACGAUCAAGAAUGGGAAAGAUGUUUGAAUGAAGCAAUUGAUUUUAAACUUCCUCGGCAAUUAUUUCGAGUUCGAAGAUUCGAUGAUGUAAAAAUUCAAAUUAUCAAUACCACUGAACAAGGCUUCAAAGGUGAUAAAUAUUUAUCGAAAAAUGUUAUAUAUAGAGAAAUUUUGUGAUAAUCAACCUCUGAUGUAUAAUAGAGAAUAUUUUUUUAUAAGUACCUUUGCCAAAUUCUCGGAUAAGUACUCAUUGUAAAAUUACAAUUUACAUACUUCCUAAUAUUAUUCUUGAUUUAGCCAAUUUGGAUAAAGAACCACAAUUUCAUAUUUUAUUUUUAAAAUUAGUAAGUACUUAUCUACCUGUCAAAGUAAA
rnacentral:misc_RNA from 1 species